AGGUGCAGGACAAGCGAUCAAAGCAGAGUUUGAAUGAGCCCAGCCGAUCCAGCAGCUCCAGUUCAGGGGCAGGCAAUACACAAGACCAUCGCAAAAAAACAAGAGUUGCUCCAAUGAUGGCAAAGUCCUUAAAAGCAUUUAAGAAACAGCUGGGACGCAGAUAAAUGGUCUUAUAUGAUGUUGAUGAUGAUGGUAUUUACAGUGUGUGUGGAUGUGGGGAAAGUGCACUCUAUUGUUUAGCUUUGGACAAUAUGCUCACCUUAUUCUGUGUUUGUCUAACACAGACAACUGCCAUAUUUUCUCUAACUGAAUUGACUUCGAUAUCAAAUGAUAAUAAAGUCAGCAAAUCCAUA